UAAAUGCUGCAAGUCGGCACAGCUUUCCAGUGACUUCUUGGGUUGUCUGAAUACCUGAACGAGGAGGAGGUGAAGUUCUACUUCCUCGUGAGGUGAUAGAUGAGCAGUAGUGUCCUCUGCCUUUUGGUCCUCAAGAAUGCCACCUCAACUCCAGACCUGAAGUGCGUCUUGGAAGCCCGGCAAGAUUAGAGGAGCAGAUGGAGAUCGAUCUCGAGACCUCGACCUCAGCUUCUUCCCAGCUAGAAGAGGCACAGACACGCCGACUGAGUUCCACAGGGAACGCGCCCUUAUCUGUGGAUGACGAUUUGGAGCAGCUACUUUGGGAAAUCUCAGGAGGCAGACUGGAAGCCGAAAUCGACUUAGACCUAGGGAAGGACGAGGAUGAGCUCCUCCUUGAACUCUCCGAGAUGAUUGACAGUUGAACUGCGUAGUCCUAUGCUAUAUUAAAAAAAAAAAAAAAAUUAAAACUGUUCUUCUUGUUGGAUACCCCGAGGUGAUCCUUUUUCUAACUGAGGCUUUGCAAUGAGACUUAAAGCACAGUCCCAACUGGUAGAAAUUGUGCACUCAGUUGUCCUAAAUUUCCCUGCUGGUCAGAGUUAAGGGCUUGUGCAUCCGUUCUGUAACUAUAGGUGGCUACCUUCGCUAUCGAGAGGACAAAGCACUUCUUUUGGCACAGAAAGAUCUCCAUUGGCACGCCACUGGUGGCUGCAAAUCGAUCUUCUGAUGGAGCGAUGCUCUGAAGGCUUAAACGUAAAGCUUCUUCCUUCCUCCCCCCUUGGCACAACUCGAUGUUGGGCACAUUGUGAAGCUUCGGUGUUCUGAUUUCUCGGACAGUUGAUAGCCAAAUCCUGGAGUUACUAUGUCAACUCGUGACUUCUACUCGUGUAUGCCAUUGUUUUGACUGUACCCGUGUCAGAUGAUGAAGCUGUAGGGGUGGGAGGGAGCAGAAUCGUUAUUCCAGUGUGUUGUGGACCGAGCUUGCUGCCAGGAGUGGGGGUGGGGGUCAGCCCACCCAGCCUUACUUUCAGUUCUCAGGGAUGAUCAAAUGGUGAAAAGCAGCAGCUCUGCCAUGCGGCUCCGCUACCCCCACUCCCUUCUCUUGUGCUGUACCAAAGUUCCCCCAGGCUUUGGUUGGUGCUUUUUGCUGGUGUGAGGACUCCGGGGCGAGCAGUCGGGACUCUGCCGCAGUCACGGGGUCGAUGAAGGGUUGUUUAAGUGCCUCUUGGUUUUCAAAAGUGCUCCCCUGAGCUGCUGGCUCUGCUGCCUGCUACUGCAAAUGUUCGGGUGCCAUCAGCAUCGCGCUUGGGCGUGGGCACUGACCCUGUGGAGGACAGAGCUGAGAUUCGGGUGUAUUGUGUACCCUGCCACCAGCCAUCGUUUUUUUUCCCCUAGCAGAUCAAUUUUGGAUUAUUUUCCGACCUUUUUGCGGCACGGUAGGCUCUUCCCGCUAUGAUUUGUGAAUCUGUGGGGGCCCUCAGGCAUUUGCUGCUGGCAGAGGAAAAGCGCUUGUCGAAUUUGUUGUAAAUACUUAAUGUUUGGACAAAACCACGUGUCUCUCUGUGUGUGUGUGUGUGUGUGUGCGUGAGUGCGUGCUGUGACGCCCCAGCCCCACCAGGGAAAACCUCCGCUGACGAAACUGCUGCUGGAGCUCACGCAGGCCUUCAUCGUGCCGAAGGACUUCACGGGGACUUCUGCCCUAUUACCCCUUCACUUCAGGGCUAAGAGCAUCUUUUGCGGAUCCAAAGCCUUUUUCUCACCUUUACUUUGCAGCUGAGAAGCAUACAGGCAUGGCACCAAGGCUCCUCUGUAUAGACCACAGCCUUGUUCUUAAGCACCCAGCUUUCAGGACGUUUUCAGGACAAGAGAGCCUAUAGUUGGGAUCCAAAGCCGCCUUUGCUUACAUGUCAAUCCUACAGAGCAGGCUGCCAUUUCCAAGGGGCAAUUCCCUAUUUUUAGGGUCCACAGUUUUAUUAUAAGAUGCAACGCGUCCUUCUUAGAUGGCAAAGCCGUAUGUGAGAAAGCGCUGCUUUCAAAUCCCCAAAUCCUCAUGCUAGGAGCCGAGGCCUGAAUUUUAGGGUCCGAACAUCCAUUUUGAGGAAGCAGAGAGUGGAGUGUGCACCACGCUGCCCUGACAUUUUUUGGCCCCAGCAUCACAUAUUAGGGCAGAAAGCCUCUUCCUUGGACUCUAAAGCCUUGUUUGAAAGGAUAAUUCCUCCUUUUUAGUGGCUAAUGAUUUCUUGUAUCCCCCUAACUCCCUCUCUCAGCCAUCCAACCCGCAGGGCUCAGGACUUGUUGAUGCUGUAAGGAAAAGCCUGAGGAGACAGAGAGCUGUGUGUCCAGCCCACAGGGUGCCGGACAACAGGCUGGCCAGGACAAGGAGACAAAGAACAGGCAGGCAAACAGCGCGAAAGAAGCAGGAAAGCUGGAGGAAGAGGUUCUGCCUCUGUUCUGCCGCUGGCUGGAAAGCGGAUCUGAGAAGGGACAGCCUCGUUCGCAGCUGCUCGGAAGAGAGCCCCAGCUCGUGUCUGGAAUGCUCUGGUGUCCCCAAGGCUGCCAGCACUGGGAACAGCCUGUUGAUGGCGGUGCCUCCCCUUUCCUGGUGUCGCAGAGAAAGGGAAGCCCAUGCAGGACCCCGUUGGGAAGGCCUGCAAUGCCAUGGGAGGGCCUGCGUGCUGGAGCAGGGCAAGA